UACGUAGGGUGCAAGCGUUGUCCGGAAUUAUUGGGCGUAAAGAGCUCGUAGGCGGUUUGUUGCGUCGGCUGUGAAAUCCCGAGGCUCAACCUCGGGUCUGCAGUCGAUACGAGCAAACUAGAGUGUUGCAGGGGAGACUGGAAUUCCUGGUGUAGCGGUGAAAUGCGCAGAUAUCAGGAGGAACACCGGUGGCGAAAGCGGCCACCUGGACUGCACCUGACGCUGACACGCGAAAGCUAGGGGAGCGAACGGG
rnacentral:rRNA from 1 species